CAACUUUUAACAACGGAUCUCUUGGUUCUCGCAUCGAUGAAGAACGUAGCAAAGUGCGAUAACUAGUGUGAAUUGCAUAUUCAGUGAAUCAUCGAGUCUUUGAACGCAACUUGCGCUCAUUGGUAUUCCAAUGAGCACGCCUGUUUCAGUAUCAAAA
rnacentral:rRNA from 10 species